GGUUAAGUGAAUAAGGGCGCACGGUGGAUGCCUUGGCACUAGGAGCCGAUGAAGGACGGGACUAACACCGAUAUGCUUUGGGGAGCUGUAAGUAAGCUAUGAUCCAGAGAUUUCCGAAUGGGGGAACCCAAUAUCUUUUAUAGGAUAUUACUUUUCAGUGAAUACAUAGCUGAUUAGAGGUAGACGCAGAGAACUGAAACAUCUUAGUACCUGCAGGAAGAGAAAGAAAAUUCGAUUCCCUGAGUAGCGGCGAGCGAAACGGGAAGAGCCCAAACCAACAAGCUUGCUUGUUGGGGUUGUAGGACUCCAAUAUGGUAGUCUGUUAGUAUAGUUGAAGGAUUUGGAAAAUUCCGCUAAAGAGGGUGAAAGCCCCGUAGACGAAAUGCUAACAACACCUAGGAGGAUCCUGAGUACGGCGGAACACGAGAAAUUCCGUCGGAAUCCGCGGGGACCAUCCCGCAAGGCUAAAUACUCCCUAGUGACCGAUAGUGAACCAGUACCGUGAGGGAAAGGUGAAAAGCACCCCGGAAGGGGAGUGAAAUAGAUCCUGAAACCGUGUGCCUACAACAAGUCAAAGCUCGUUAAUGAGUGAUGGCGUGCCUUUUGUAGAAUGAACCGGCGAGUUACGAUUGCAUGCGAGGUUAAGUCGAAGAGACGGAGCCGCAGCGAAAGCGAGUCUGAAUAGGGCGAAUGAGUAUGUAGUCGUAGACCCGAAACCAUGUGAUCUACCCAUGUCCAGGUUGAAGGUGCGGUAAAACGCACUGGAGGACCGAACCCACGUACGUUGAAAAGUGCGGGGAUGAGGUGUGGGUAGCGGAGAAAUUCCAAACGAACUUGGAGAUAGCUGGUUCUCUCCGAAAUAGCUUUAGGGCUAGCCUCGGAAUUGAGAAUGAUGGAGGUAGAGCACUGUUUGGACUAGGGGCCCAUCUCGGGUUACCGAAUUCAGAUAAACUCCGAAUGCCAUUCAUUUAUAUCCGGGAGUCAGACUGCGAGUGAUAAGAUCCGUAGUCGAAAGGGAAACAGCCCAGACCACCAGCUAAGGUCCCAAAAUAUAUGUUAAGUGGAAAAGGAUGUGGGGUUGCACAGACAACUAGGAUGUUGGCUUAGAAGCAGCCACCAUUUAAAGAGUGCGUAAUAGCUCACUAGUCGAGUGACCCUGCGCCGAAAAUGUACCGGGGCUAAACAUAUUACCGAAGCUGUGGACUACACCAUUAGGUGUAGUGGUAGGAGAGCGUUCUAAGGGCGUUGAAGGUCGAUCGUGAGGACGGCUGGAGCGCUUAGAAGUGAGAAUGCCGGUAUGAGUAGCGAAAGACAGGUGAGAAUCCUGUCCACCGUAUGACUAAGGUUUCCUGGGGAAGGCUCGUCCGCCCAGGGUUAGUCGGGACCUAAGCCGAGGCCGAUAGGCGUAGGCGAUGGACAACAGGUUGAUAUUCCUGUACCAGUUGUUUUUGUUUGAGCAAUGGAGGGACGCAGUAGGCUAAGGAAUGCAUGCGAUUGGAAGUGCAUGUCCAAGCAAUGAGUCUUGAGUAGAGUUAAAUGCUUUACUCUUUAAGGACAAGUUGUGACGGGGAGCGAAAUAAUAGUAGCGAAGUUCCUGAUGUCACACUGCCAAGAAAAGCUUCUAGUGAGAAAACAACUGCCCGUACCGUA
rnacentral:rRNA from 1 species